UACGAAGGGGGCUAGCGUUGUUCGGAAUCACUGGGCGUAAAGCGCACGUAGGCGGAUUGUUAAGUCGGGGGUGAAAUCCUGAGGCUCAACCUCAGAACUGCCUUCGAUACUGGCAAUCUCGAGUCCGGAAGAGGUUGGUGGAACAGCUAGUGUAGAGGUGAAAUUCGUAGAUAUUAGCUAGAACUCCAGUGGCGAAGGCGGCCAACUGGUCCGGUACUGACGCUGAGGUGCGAAAGCGUGGGGAGCAAACAGG
rnacentral:rRNA from 1 species